GACGAACGCUGGCGGCGUGCUUAACACAUGCAAGUCGAACGAUGAAGAAGAGAAACGCGAACUUCGGUUCAACUUUCACUUCGGAUUAGUGGCAGACGGGUGAGUAACGCGUGAGCAACCUACCUCUUACAAAGGGAUAGCCUCGGGAAACCGUGAUUAAUACCAUAUGACACAUUCAUAAGGCAUCUUAAGAAUGUUAAAGCUACGGCGGUAAGAGAUGGGCUCGCGUCCCAUUAGCUAGUUGGUGAGGUAACGGCCCACCAAGGCGACGAUGGGUAACCGGCCUGAGAGGGUGAACGGUCACAUUGGAACUGAGACACGGUCCAAACUCCUACGGGAGGCAGCAGUGGGGAAUAUUGCACAAUGGAGGGAACCCUGAUGCAGCGACGCCGCGUGAGCGAUGAAGGAAUUCGUUUCGUAAAGCUCUGUUCUAUGGGAAGAAAAGGACUGUACCAUAGGAGAAAGCCCCGGCUAAAUACGUG
rnacentral:rRNA from 1 species